UACGGAGGGCGCAAGCGUUGUUCGGAAUUACUGGGCGUAAAGCGCGUGUAGGCGGUCUGGUAAGUCGGUUGUGAAAUCCCCGGGCUCAACCCGGGAACUGCAUCCGAAACUUCCAGGCUAGAGUUUCGGAGAGGAAGGCAGAAUUCCCAAUGUAGGGGUGAAAUCCGUAGAUAUUGGGAGGAAUACCAGUGGCGAAGGCGGCCUUCUGGACGAUGACUGACGCUGAGACGCGAAAGCGUGGGGAGCAAACAGG
rnacentral:rRNA from 1 species